UAAGUGAACCUAAAAUUUUCGUUGGAAAAAACAUUAAAAUUUUGCGACUUUCUAAACGGCAUUGUGGUCAAUCAAAUAGAUGACAUGUCAUAAAUGUUAACCAUGCUUAAAAUGCCAUUUAGGGGUUAAUGGAUACGACGAAGUCAUUUCCAAGGCGUAAUGACAAUAUUUUUCUAUAAACUCAUUAACGUCCCAAAUCAUCGGAAAAGUCACAUCCUAAUUUGUCUUCUCGGAACCACUGUUCGUUCGUCUGCAAAAAAAAAAAAAAAACAAGCAAGCAGAGAAAUUACUCAUUUCAAAAUGGUCGUAAAUUGAAAAUUGACUUCUUGUCGUCAACGUGCACACAUCAUUAUCAUCACCAGGAGUAGCUGAACCCCGCUACACAGCUACAAUUACGGCAUUACAACAGGGCUGUACCCGGCGUUCAACCGCAUCGAGUAAUGCAACUGAAAAAGGACACAAAUGGCUGCUGCAACAACAAUAAUGAGCUAAAAUUGUACAAUGCUUAGGGAAAAAAGGACACGCUACUGCACACGUUGGCUGUACCAAAGUGACAAGGGAAUGCCAUUCAACACUGAAUUUGCCACCAUCAGGCUCUACACCAAUCCUGCAACACCCAAAGCUAAUGUUCUUGUUUUCCUUUGCCUUCUAAGUCACUAAGCAAAAGAAUAAACACGCCAGGACGAGGAAAA